rnacentral:sRNA from 1 species
GAGAUGUGGUUCUGCGCGUGCGCGGACGGCUGUCUGUUAACUCCGCGGUCAGUUCCCGGACUGGCGGCUGGUCUGUAGGGUUGACCUACGCAAUGCAGAGGCUGCAGGUAGUGCUGGGCCACCUGAGGGGUCCGGCCGAUUCCGGCUGGAUGCCGCAGGCCGCGCCUUGCCUGAGCGGUGCCCCGCAGGCCUCGGCCGCGGACGUGGUGGUGGUGCACGGGCGGCGCACGGCCAUCUGCCGGGCGGGCCGCGGCGGCUUCAAGGACACCACCCCCGACGAGCUUCUCUCGGCAGUCAUGACCGCGGUUCUCAAGGACGUGAAUCUGAGGCCGGAACAGCUGGGGGACAUCUGUGUCGAUCAACAUGGAGUUUCUUAUGUCUUCCUUUUCUACAUACACACGGAAAUGUGCUGCAGCCUGGGGCCGGGGCAAUCAUGGCCCGAAUCGCCCAGUUUCUGAGGUAAACUUUUCUAGUUCUAGCCAUGGGUUGGCCAUUUUGAAGCUUUACUGGGCCCAGGCCCCAGGAAACUCAGUGUGCA